rnacentral:rRNA from 1 species
GAUGAACGCUGGCGGCGUGCCUAAUACAUGCCAGUCGAGCGAACAGAUGAGGAGCUUGCUCCUCUGACGUUAGCGGCGGACGGGUGAGUAACACGUGGAUAACCUACCUAUAAGACUGGGAUAACUUCGGGAAACCGGAGCUAAUACCGGAUAAUAUAUUGAACCGCAUGGUUCAAUAGUGAAAGACGGUUUUGCUGUCACUUAUAGAUGGAUCCGCGCCGCAUUAGCUAGUUGGUAAGGUAACGGCUUACCAAGGCAACGAUGCGUAGCCGACCUGAGAGGGUGAUCGGCCACACUGGAACUGAGACACGGUCCAGACUCCUACGGGAGGCAGCAGUAGGGAAUCUUCCGCAAUGGGCGAAAGCCUGACGGAGCAACGCCGCGUGAGUGAUGAAGGUCUUCGGAUCGUAAAACUCUGUUAUUAGGGAAGAACAAAUGUGUAAGUAACUAUGCACGUCUUGACGGUACCUGAUCAGAAAGCCACGGCUAACUACGUG